CUGUGCAUUGCUUUACAUUCCGUCACUUCAGAAACCCAACAAGCAACAAAAACCUUUGUUCCUCCUCCCACCUGAGGCUCUCAAUUUCGUACUCUCUCAAAUUGCUACUGUUAACACACAUAACAUCAUUCUUCAAACUUAAAACCAUACGGAUUCUACAGAUUUUAGCAGGUUGAGGUUGUGGAACUAGUACCAGAAUUAUUUAGCAACCCAUCCAGUUAAAACCCACAUGAUUAUUUGGGGUUUUGGUUAUCUAUUUUGCUUUUUUUGUUAAUUCUUUGGGGUUUUGAUUAAAUUAGUAUAAAUAUAGUUAACUGGGUUAGUGUUAUUUUCAAUCUUGAAAAACCCUCAAAAUUAGCGCAUUGACAUGUUUUCGCCCCCUUUCCUCGGUCCUCUUCUCACCCAGAAAAACAGAGGAAAGAAAAUCAAGAAAAGCUUUUAUUCACCGAUCUGCAUGCCUAGUCUGGUGAAAGAGCCUCGGUGGAGUACGCCGAGGAUGGCGGAGUCAAGGAGGCGAACAUGACUAUGCCUGCUGGUGCCCGUUUGUAGGGCACCACCGGCAGGAGAAGCAACGGCGGAGGUUGGCUACAACACAGCAAAAUGCGAGAAAGAAAAAAAUCGCUGGUAGAACCAAACCAAGAGUUUCAAGAAUUGGUGUGCGAAGGAGCUAAUGUUCUUCCAUCAAAGUUCAUAGGGGAUGCUUUCCGUGAUAGAUAUGGCAAGUGAAGACAAAGCCUGCACAAUGGAUUAUGUGGGUCAAAUCCUGAGUCGACAAGAUAAAAAUAGAUGCUAUACAAAAGAGAAAAAGAAAGCAUAUGAAACAGUGAAACCAAAGAGAAUAUCAAAGGAGGAGAUACUUCGUCUAACGGAAGAAAAGAAACAACUGAA